AAACCUGCCAGCUAGCGUCAGUGUGCAGUGUAAUGGUGGAUAGAUGAGAACAUACACCUACAUCUUCCUGGUUUAAAGUUCUUCUACACUUCAUAAAGCAAUGGCUAUGCUGAAGGUCAAGAUUGUGUUCCUCGUAUGAACGUGCAUUGUGUUCUGCAUCCUGAUUGGCUAAUGCUGCGUUCACCCAUCAAUGACGCAUCCAACUCAUGCCAACUUUCAAAGAGGAAAACUACAGAGAGAACUUUUACCUGCUACUACCACCUCCUCGCUGAUUCUCCUCCACGCCAAUGCCAUCCUAGUCCGGUCCCGUUGCCAUGUGGUCACACGCAGCUUCUACUCCCCUUAUACUGUAUGUACAGCAAAUACACAGCAGGCGCUUCUCCUAUUUGUCCGAAAUGUAAGGUAGCUGUAUAGGAACAAGGUUUCACUGCCUCUGGGAGUGUGACAAGAUUCAUCAGUUCUGGCAGGCUAUCUGUAAAGAGAUUGGUGUAAUAAUUGAUCAACAACUACAACCAAACCCACUACUGUCUUUUAGGCUCCAUUCCUGAUCACUUAAAAUUGCUAAGGAGCUUUAUGCAGUUUUUACUUAUGUUAGGGCGGAAGGCUAAAAUGACCAAAUGGGUAGGUGAUGCUUGGCCAACUGUCCCAUUAUGGAAAUCAUUACUAACUGAUACUAUUGUUUUGGAAAGGUUGAGAUAUUGCAUGAA
rnacentral:lncRNA from 1 species